GCUUGCCGGGGGCGAGAUGCCCCCGGAUGAACGACAUACACCGUGCCAUGGGAAGAAAUGGGCACAUCAGGGCGUU
rnacentral:sRNA from 1 species